AGUGAACGCUGGCGGUAGGCCUAACACAUGCAAGUCGAACGAGCGGCGGACGGGUGAGGAAUACAACGGAAUCUCCUCUGUCGUGGGGUAUAACGUAGGGACCCGUACGAUAAUACCGCAUUCGAUCGCAUGAGUCGAUGUCGGCUUAGCUUGUUGGCGGGGUAAAGGCAACCCAAGGCGACGACCCGUAGCUGGUCUGAUAGGAUGAUCGGCCACACUGGAACUGAGACACGGUCCAGACUCCUACGGGAGGCAGCAGUGGGGAAUAUUGGGCAAUGGGCGCAAGCCUGAUCCAGCCAUACCGCGUGGGUGAAGAAGGCCUUCGGGUUGUAAAGCCCUUUUGUUGGGAAAGCGGUACCCAAAGAAUAAGCACCGGCUAACUUCGUGCCAGCAGCCGCGGUAAUAC
rnacentral:rRNA from 1 species